rnacentral:rRNA from 1 species
GAUGAACGCUAGCUACAGGCUUAACACAUGCAAGUCGAGGGGAAACGACAUCGAAAGCUUGCUUUUGAUGGGCGUCGACCGGCGCACGGGUGAGUAACGCGUAUCCAACCUGCCCAUCACUUGGGGAUAACCUUGCGAAAGUAAGACUAAUACCCAAUGAUAUCUCUAGAAGACAUCUGAAAGAGAUUAAAGAUUUAUCGGUGAUGGAUGGGGAUGCGUCUGAUUAGCUUGUUGGCGGGGUAACGGCCCACCAAGGCAACGAUCAGUAGGGGUUCUGAGAGGAAGGUCCCCCACAUUGGAACUGAGACACGGUCCAAACUCCUACGGGAGGCAGCAGUGAGGAAGAUUGGUCAAUGGGCGAGAGCCUGAACCAGCCAAGUAGCGUGCAGGAAGACGGCCCUAUGGGUUGUAAACUGCUUUUAUAAGGGAAUAAAGUGAGAGUCGUGACUCUUUUUGUAUGUACCUUAUGAAUAAGAACCGGCUAAUUCCGUG